CGGAUAAAAGGUACUCCGGGGAUAACAGGCUGAUACCGCCCAAGAGUUCAUAUCGACGGCGGUGUUUGGCACCUCGAUGUCGGCUCAUCACAUCCUGGGGCUGAAGUAGGUCCCAAGGGUAUGGCUGUUCGCCAUUUAAAGUGGUACGCGAGCUGGGUUUAGAACGUCGUGAGACAGUUCGGUCCCUAUCUGCCGUGGGCGCUGGAGAACUGAGGGGGGCUGCUCCUAGUACGAGAGGACCGGAGUGGACGCAUCACUGGUGUUCGGGUUGUCAUGCCAAUGGCACUGCCCGGUAGCUAAAUGCGGAAGAGAUAAGUGCUGAAAGCAUCUAAGCACGAAACUUGCCCCGAGAUGAGUUCUCCCUGAGACUUAGAGUCUCCUGAAGGAACGUUGAAGACGACGACGUUGAUAGGCCGGGUGUGUAAGCGCAGCGAUGCGUUGAGCUAACCGGUACUAAUGAACCGUGAGGCUUAACCUUACAACGCCGAAG
rnacentral:rRNA from 1 species